rfam:Scleropages formosus scaffold756, whole genome shotgun sequence.
CUGCAGAUAUGGCGACAUGGUCCCCAAGACUAUCGUGGGGAAGAUUUUCGGCUCCAUCUGCUCCCUGAGCGGGGUGCUGGUCAUCGCCCUGCCUGUCCCGGUCAUUGUGUCCAAC